CCUACGGGAGGCAGCAGUAAGGAAUAUUGCGCAAUGGGCGAAAGCCUGACGCAGCGACGCCGCGUGGGGGAUGAAGGUCUUCGGAUUGUAAACCCCUUUCGGGAGGGAAGAUGGAGCGAGCAAUCGUUCGGACGGUACCUCCAGAAGCAGCCACGGCCAACUCUGUGCCAGCAGCCGCGGUAAU
rnacentral:rRNA from 1 species